rnacentral:rRNA from 1 species
AUUAAAAUUUAUUUAUUAAUAUUAUUUAUUGUUUAUUUAAUUUAUUAAAAAUAAUUAUAUUAUUUAAAGUUUUAGUAUUUUUUAAAGAAUAAAUAUUUUUUAUCAUAGUUUAUUAGUAUUGUGAAAGAAAAUUGAAAUAUUUUGAAAAAUAUUUAUAUAAUAAAAAAAUUUAUUUUAUUGUACCUUUUGUAUCAGGGUUUAUCUAAUAAAUAAUAAAAAUUUAUUUUUCUCGAUUUUAAAAGAGUUAAUUAAUUUUUAAAGUUAUCGUGAUAAAUUUAUUUUAAAAAAUUAAUUAGAAAUGAAAUGUUAUUCGUUUUUAAAGGUAUCUAGUUUUUUAAGAAAUGAAUUUAAUUCAUAAAUUUAAAAUUAUUUAUUUAAUUAAAUAAAUAAAUAAUUUUUUAAUUUUAAUUUUUUAUGGGAUAAGCUGUAAAAAAUUAUUAAAAAAUUUUAAAUAAUAAUUUUUAAAAUGUAAGCUUAGAAUUAGUUAUCAUUAAUAAAUUUGUUAUAAUUUAUUUAAAAAUUUUAAUUAUUUAAUUUAUUUUUAUUUUUUAUUAAAAUAUAAAUUUUAAUUUAUAAAAUUAAAUAAUAAUGAUAAAAUUAGUAUAUAAAUAUUGUAAAAAUAAUUUUUUAUGAAAAGUUUUUAUAAAGAACUCGGCAAAAUAUAAUAUUCGCCUGUUUAACAAAAACAUGUCUUUUUGAAUUUUUUAAAAAGUCUAACCUGCCCAAUGAAUUUUUUAAUGGCCGUAGUAUUUUGACUGCUGCAAAGGUAGCAUAAUCAUUAGUUUUUUAAUUGAAGGCUGGAAUGAAUGGUUGGACGAGAUAUUAACUGUUUCAUAAGAAUUUAUAAUAGAAUUUUAUUUUUUAGUUAAAAAGCUAAAAUUUUUAUAAAAGACGAGAAGACCCUAUAAAUCUUUAUAUUUUAUGAAUUUAAUUUAUUUAGAAAAAUUUAAUUUUUAUUUUAUAAAAUAUUUUAUUGGGGUGAUAUUAAAAUAUGAUAAACUUUUAAAAUUUUAUAACAUUAAUUAAUGAACAUUUGAUCCGUUUUUAACGAUUAUUAAAUUAAGUUACUUUAGGGAUAACAGCGUAAUUUUUUUGGAGAGUUCAUAUCGAUAAAAAAGAUUGCGACCUCGAUGUUGGAUUAAGAUAUAAUUUUAGGUGUAGAAGUUUAAAAUUUAAGUCUGUUCGACUUUUUAUUCUUACAUGAUCUGAGUUCAAACCGGCGUAAGCCAGGUUGGUUUCUAUCUUUAUUUAAUUAAUAUAUUUUAGUACGAAAGGACCAAAUAUAUAAAUAAUAAUAUUUUAAAAAAGAAUUUUAUUAAUAUU